CUAAGAGGUACUCAAAAAAAUGAACUGUGUACUACUCAGGAACGGGCCCAACCGAAACUGAUCCGCAAAAUGUCCUGCAAAUCCAUUAAUCACUUUUUAGGAAUAAAUAGAUAUAGUUUAAUACUAUGCAUUGCUGCUCAACACAAUGCUAGUUAGGACACGUAGUCAUGGACUUUAUGUGCAAAAGAAGAUAUUUGAGUAGGCUUCUUACUGACAAAGACACAAGGGGAGGGACGAUGCAUAAAAAUGUAUGACUGAUGCAAUGGGAGGUAUGAAAACCCACCUAGAGUUAUUCUUAUUUACAGAGUCAAAUUGACCUGGGAUUUGGAGGUGACAUGAUUUAUUCUAAAUUCACACCUCAAACUGUCACAAGAACUGACGAAAGUCAUGUGGCGGUAUGUGAGAGCUUUAUAUUUAGAGCAACACUGCCUCACUGAGUCAUCCUGCAGAGUUUUCAAACUGUAGCUGCGAAGGAGUUCACAGGCAUCUUCAAUGUCAAAUAAUCGCAUCACCACUUUACUGCCAAACACGUCGGCAAUAACAAUAUCGACUUGAAAAAUCAUACAUUCCGGUACUUCUUUAGAAAGAGCUUAACUCAAACCCAGCUGUGACCUCAGACCUCGCUCCUAACCUGUGUGUGUGUGUGUGUGUGUGUGUGUGUGCUUUCAUUCAUACAAUAUGUGUGUGUAAUGUCAAUCCGCUCUAGUCAUCCUACACUUAUCCUUCAUCCUCUCUGCACCCAUACCACUCCUAUGCUCACACUCCCUAAACCCCAGCACUUAGCACACCCCCUGGAUCACAGACACAAUGCUACAGGACUCCUCCCCGCCGACCCCAUCGGUCUCGAGCUCGCUGAACAUCGCCAAACCGUGCCAAAUUUAACCAACUUAGAAGAACGGGUGAGAUCUUUUGAAGAGAAGCGUGACAUAAACAUAGCUGAGGAUGAGAGAGAAGUAGAGGGUUUACAUGCACCUCCCUCUCCCCUCAGAUGUUCAAUCCCCACAUAUGCAUAAUUCUGUCUCAGAGGAUGCUCUGCUGCUUUUAGAUGUUGUGAUUUGCAUGGAUUUGAAGAGGAGAUGGAGGUGGAUUUCCAGGACACUCAUGACAGAAUGUGACCAUACCAUAGAGGCAUGCUGGAUUAUAAAAGCCUGGGUCUUUGAUAAAGGAGAUCAAGGAGAGCAACAGGAGAUGUGGAGGAAGGUAAUUACAGGCCAAGGGCUGACAGUGGCUGUAAAAAUGGCACAUUUCUGAGGGGUGAUUUAUGGCUCAGGCAUCUGAGGAUGCAGAGAUGUGGGGAAUGAUGUUGUUCAGGCAGAGUGAUAUGUGGUAUGCAUCAAGUUGAUGCAUAAUGUUGAAUGUACAAACAGAUGAGUAUAUUUGGCGAUUGUGACUGUUGAAGAUAGCGAUUGCAAAGUUUGGUUUAAAAAAUGCCGUGGUUACAAUCAAAGUCUCUGAGGUGAUAAACAGCCACAUCCCAUGAAAAGCAAACAUUAUGCAUAAUGUAUCAUUUAAAAAUGGUUCAAAACGUGAUUCUAUAAGUUGAAGUUUACUUGCCUGAGGAAAAUGGGUUCUCCGUUUCAUAUCUGUUAAUUUAAUGAAUGAAUUGCACUACAACACUGCAUUUGGAGGAAUUGUUGACAUUUUGAGAAAGGCAGCAAUUUGUAGCAGCUGGUAAGCUCAGUUCAGCCUCAUGACUUGAAACCGUGCUCUGUCCAAGUUACAGAGUAGUCCGACUCUUAACGCACCUAUAAAACCUAUAACUUAUAUCUCGGUUAAGUAAUCAAGAUAUAAUGUUCUUAUUAAUGGUGUUUAGCUGGUGACCCUUGUUCCCAGUCUAAACCAUACUCGCCGGCUUCUGGCUCUGGCUCAACAUUUAUCCGACAGAUAUAUUUGUGGAAUUUUAUUAUCUUGUUUUUCAACAAUAUCCCACAAUGUUGAACCAGACCAAGCAUAUAAAAGGAAUGCAUGAAUAAAAGGCUACCUGUAGCCUGAAUAGGUCCAAUAAAGUCUUCAUGUAAGGAUAAGGAUGAGAGUUAGAGACACACCAAGGACUAUUCAACACUCACGCUUUGUUCGUUAUGUUAACAUUAAUGUCAGGAGUCCGCAUUGUAUGUGAUUGGAGCUAGCAUUGCAGCAGGAGGACCUGCUCUUCCUCGAUGCCAGUUUAGGGCCAAUAGAAAUCUUUUCUACUAUAUCUAACAAGUACAAAACGUGAUGUUUUUCCUGAUGUUAGUCAGUUGUUCGUCUGGUCUGUGAGGAUAGAAAAAUAUUUGUCAGGUAUAUUAGCGAAUUGGAGGCCAAUAAAACAGGGAGUCUGAGUGGAGGGAGUGUAAAUAGCAGAAUUUCUUUAAAAUAUUGGAGAAUCACCCGCUCCAUCUAUAAUUUCCCUUCGGUAUUGCUCACACAGCAAGUUUGAGGCAUCUCAAGAUCCAACCCUUAACGUAUUUGUGUAUUGCAAUGCAAUUUGAGACUUGUUUGCAACCCAAACAUUUAAAAAAACUCCAGAGUAUUGUAAAGUCUAAAAGUUAGUAGACAGUUAAAGAAUAUGUAAUCAUUUCCAGAGUUCACAAACAUUUUUUUGUGUUCCUACAAUACAUAUUUUCUGGUGGGUGGUCCUUUAAAAAUAAUAUUUUCACAAUGGGAAAGGAGAGUUUGCACUCUAAUCGCCACAUACUAUUUAAAUAACUACACAAUUUAGCAGCAAUCAAACAAAACCAAAGUGUUUAUUAGUGACUCAGGUCAAAGAGGUCUGUUGUGGAACUACAAUUUCAAUUGAAAAUGUCAUAACAAGACAAGUGAUAAUCAGACUAAUGACCGAACAUAUGGAUAAUGUCAUCAUGAUAAAGAUGAGGAAAUUGCAACGCAGUUUCUCAGGACAAUGUUGGAAACAGUGAAGCAAAUAUCUGAAGACACUGGAAACACUGCUAAUGAGCUAAAUGUAGAAAAGACAACACAAGCCAGUCAGAAAGCAGUUCAUUUGGUGGAAAAAUAUUCACAGCUCCAGCUAACUAGUCAAGUUCUGCAGGAUCCAGUUCCAGCAAUCCAGGAAGUUAAGAGGCUGAGUGCCUCUUGACUUAAUGCAGAUUACUUUGCCGCAUCAAGGGGCAUCCAUCCAUCCAUCCAUUCAUCCAUCCAUCUGCAAAGCUGCUUAUCCUUCAUACAGGGUUGCGGGGGGGCUGGAGUCAGCUAAAGCCAAAGUUGCAGUUCAAGUGCAGUCAGUCGAAGAAUCACAAAACAUGUCUGCGACCAAUUCAAAAGACUCUGACCCUUGCUGACAAUUUCCAUGCUUCGGAGAAGGGAAAUGGUGAUCUUUGUGAAUGAGAGUACUGCACAGUUCCUGCCCUGUGACUUUCUGCCAGUGUAAGAGGUAAAACAAGAUAAGAUGGAAAGGAGGAAGUGGAAAACAGCUACAAACAAGAAAAAGAAGCAAAAACAGAAGAAGGUCUUGACCGUAGUUAAGAGGACGAAAGUAACUGGAGAAUCAUCAGACAACCAGCAGAACUACUGAAACAUGUUGGGAGCCAGAUCAGAAGCGAGGCAGAGGAUUUCCAGCUACAAGCGACGAACAAAGAACAGGAGCAAAGUGGUAAGGAAGACGAUGGCGUCCAGAGGAGGUUGAGGAUGCAGAAGUGGAGCAUGGAGGGGCAGAAGGAGCUGAUCAAGAGGAGUCAGGAGUCAGGGUUCAUCAUUUGAUGGAGCAGAUGAGAGGGAUCUUGAGUUGCCUUCAGUUUCCACCAGAAUGUAUCCUUUUCGACAAAGAAAUCCACCCAAAACACAAUACAAUAGAUUAGGUCAAUUGUCAUUUAAGAUAAAAAGGGCCAUGUUUUGGGAGGGAGACACAUGUUCAUAAUUACUUAAAGGUCUUACUGUUACGGUAAGUUAGAUGGGCGUGGGCCCAAGCGCAGCACACAGGAGUCACAGGGAGGUUCUUCCGACUUGAAAAAUAAGAUAUUUAUUUAAACAUAUAAAAAGGGCGCACGAGGACAGGUUGACUCCGCAGGGAAGAAUGGCCUCGGAGGACCCGCUAGCCGGCAGGUAGGAAUCCUCGAGCACACUCUGACGGCAGAACUAUCUGGCGCUGAAUGGCAGGAAGACCCGGGUUCAUAUGGGAGUCCCUUGAUGGCUGAUUGUCGUCAGCUGUUGCAGGCCACACCCUUCGGGGAUGCCCAGGCGGAGACCACACCUCCUUUCAGACACGGGAAAACACAGGCAAAGGAAACAGAGGGAGCUGCUGGGCUGACAGCAUGACACUUACUGAGACAUAUGUUACGGAUAUAUAUAUAUAUAUAUAUAUAUAUAUAUAUAUACACAAAUACAAUAUAUGUGUGUGUGUAAUCGGCUAUCUUUUUGCCUUCUUGGUUUCUGUGUUAACAUCUAGCUUUGAUCAAUGGGUCCUGAAAUGCGCCGAAUGUGUUAGAUUUAGCAAAAUUUGGUUAUGACAUUUUGGUAACUCUUUUAAUCUUUGUUUGAGUUGUGUCUGGAGCAAGUUCAAACAGCUUAGUAUGCAUUCUAGGCAAGGCUCUAAUGUUUCUCCUGGUGUACCAUUAUAUUAGUUUUUUUGCGGAAUGCCUUUUUUUCGACAGUAUGGGGGACGCUCGGGUACAAAAGACAGUUGAUUGAAUAAAAAAUCUUUUAAUCUAAAGAAUCACUUCACACAACGCACCCCUGCCACCAUGGGUCUGCGAUAUCAGCGACUAUCGCACUACCACCAAUGAAACAUCCAGCACACGUUUAAACAUGAACAUAUAGAAAAAAGAAGUGAAAAAACUAGUUAAAUUGAGUAAACCUGCAGCCUUGAUACCUCAAUGUAAGAUCCUUUAAAAUGUUUUUUUCUCUCAAAAAAAUAAAUGAUUCCCUUUUAGAUUUAACGGAGUGUUUAAUAACCUCCUGACCAAUGCUGAAUGCAGUCCCAAUCACUUUGUCAAGAUUUGGCACUUACUAGAUCAACCCCACGUCAAGAAAUAAGUAAGUAUUUCUGCAAAACAACACAAACUGCUGUAUUCCUACCGGACUUUUUAAUCAAUGUUUAUCACACAGAAGAGAUCAGAAUAUGACCUUGAUGGGUAUUGAGCAUGCCAUGUAUGAACCUACAUGUAGUUGCCACGCAUUGAAAGAGAAGUGACACAUUCAGUAUUAAUCAUACUUGAAAAAUGCGUUGAGUCUGACUCAAUCUCCACAAAUUGCUUUCAUUUUUUUUUUUUGUGCUUUCCCUAUCAGGUCUCCGUAGAUUGUGGUUCCUUCUGGACCCUGGUCCUGACACCUGCCGGCCUUGUCACGGUGUGGUUCACUUCCUGUUGUAUUUUGUAGUUUUCUGCCACUCGUGUCCCCGGGUAACUUCACUUCCUGCCUUGUCCCGUCAUCCCCUGUGAUUGUCUAAUAGUUUCCACCUGUGUCCAAUCACCUGCACCUCCCUUGUGUAUUUAAGCCGUGUGUCUCUUGUGUCACUUGUCGCGUCAUUGUCUUUCGCCACGCAUGUCCUUGUCUUUCGUCUUGGAUCCCCGUAGAUUCAUGCCUGUGUGCUUUUGCCCCCGGUUCCUGUGUUUUUUGACCCUUUUGACUAUUAAAGUCUUUUUGUUUCCCGCAAGUCUGCGUUUGAGUCCUGCCUCCCACCCGCGCC
ensembl:lncRNA